ACAGCUCUUCAAGGGAUGUUAAGAAUGUCUAUGACGCUGAUAUUUUAGCAUAAAAACAGGUUGAUUGGUCUGGAAAUUCACAUGGCAAUUAUUAACAUUGAUAAUCUUUCUCUGUCCCUCCGUGUUUAUAAGCAGACUUGCCACACAGAUUUAAAUAAAGAUGCUUUGUUCCAUGGCCUAGCUGAUUUUAGAUUCCUGAGUUAUGAGUAAGUUACCUCCGGGAGGCUCACAGGCUUUGAGUAUUGGAGCCUUUUGAUUUGUGUGGGGAUCCACUGCUCCUGCUACUGACUAGGUACCCUGCUCUAACUGUUAUUGAGCAUUAUUGAGCUGAGGGUCAGAUUUUUUCAAAGACCAGAGAGCUCUGGGAACAGGGCCCUUGCUCCUGGACAGUGAAGAUAACUGAUGGAAAGAUUGGCUGUUCCCAUUCCUGUCUCUAGGGGUCAACUGAUCUCCCUGCUCCCCCCACUAUUUCCAUCAAGGUUAGCACUGAGUAGACAUGGAUUUAGGCAGGGAGCUGAGCCUCUUCAAUUACAGUGAGGCAAGUAAGAGAGCAAACAGCAGCAGACAGGGGGCCUGAUGUGAAAGAGGAGCCUUGGUAAUUUGUGUCUGAAGGUCACUAGACUAUCCUACCAAUGUGGCUGUUUUUUCUAUCCAGGCGAAGAGCUAGGUGUUCUUGUAAAAAGAAAGCCAGAUGUUCUUCUUUGGCUCAUUUUGCUAGGGAGGUCUCCAAGGAACGAGGUGGAAAUUGAAGACACGUCUUAUCUGAAGAACUAGAAAACUUCCAAUCCCUGGCACCU
rnacentral:lncRNA from 1 species